rnacentral:tRNA from 1 species
GGACCGCUGGCGCAACGGUAGCGCGUUCGACUCCAGCUUUGGUUCAUCGAAAGGUUAUCCGUUCAAAUCGGGUGUGGUUCA